UAUUUUGAUAUUGAAGCUUUAGACGAAAAAGCAAGAGGCAAAUUGAUUUUGGCCUCCUGAAGUUAUGUCCUGUACCAGGGAGGACUUGGAAAAAAUACUACAACUUGUUUGUCCCCGCUCAAAGACUUAUUUGACAUUUCAGCAAGAGGAAGUGUUUAGCACAUAUAGUAGUUUCAUACUGCAAAUAAUCUAGUUUUUACGUAAUGGCAAGUGGUAACCCUCCCAUCGUUUUCCACCAAAACAAUGCUCUAAAAUGCAAGUGAGAGCAGACUUGAUGUCAAAACCAAAACUAAGGGCCUGCUGGAGACCAGCAAGAGGCCCAGGGAGGUGUGUGAACCUUUCGGUGUCCAUCCUCAAACCGUUGGUAAGAGGAGAACUUCAUCCAAGAACAGCGAAUCCCUUUACAACAGACCCAAUUGAGGGCAAAAAUCUGGGAUUGCUCUGAGCCCAAAGAGAAGGAAGAUCGUGAAAGCUAUUAAUGAAGCUAUGUUUAACUUAAAUACCACAUUAAUACUUGAAUACUUUAAUUAUCUUCUCGUCUUGAACUGCUGGGAUUCCAAUCCUGGUAGCGGUAAGGAAGUCCGCAAAAAAAAGAAUAACCCAACAAGUAAAAAACCGUUUUCACCUUUUUAAAACUUAUUUUGGCCGAUUGUCGUGACUUAAAAGCAACUUUUUUUGACCAAAAUUACAAACUAUUUUCCGAACCCUAGUCAUAAAGAAUAACAACCAUAGAGCUUGUUAGAGAACACCAGAACCGUUACGAGCUACAUAGUUCUACAUGCCUUAUACUAAAGGAUCAACUCAACAUGUAGAAAAGACAAACUAAUUCUAAUAAUGUCUUAGCAUAUUAGUCAAUGACCUUGUUACUUUUAUUCAUACCGUGUAUCCCUACAAAAGCAACCUCGUGCCAAUGUAAAUACAUUUUCAACGGUAAGCCCAAUUUUUACUUCAUUUUGAAACUGACCAAUAUAACUAAGAGACUCCAAAGCUUCUUUUUCGAGCCAAUUCGAAAUCAUAUGACAUUUAGUGUCCAUUGAUCAAAGUUUCUAUUCGGAGGCUUGCACUCAUUUAUUGUAUGAUUUUUACCCUAAUAUUUAUAGGGAAAACGUAGGUGUUGCCGAUCUUGUUUCUUCGAUAAUUAAUUUGGAUGAAUUAUUGAUUAACUAACCUAACCCAACUUUCAUUCAAGCCCCGUCUGCCAGCUCGCCUUCUUUGAUAGAUCAAUUAUCAUAUGAAGUUUAAAAGAUAGCAAAUAGACAAAUUAGAAUAUUUCAUUGUAAAAGUAAAAGAGUAAUAGAUUCCCUGUUCUGGUAAGAAACCACCCGUGAAAAAAAAAUAACAAAAAAACAUGUUUUUCCCAAUGUUUGGUGUCAUAGCGACGCAGUCUAGCAAAGAAUGCUGUCGAAUACAACUUGGAACCACCGCAAUGACUCCACAAAUUUAUUAUAACCAGGUUACAGUUUACUCGAAUUUAGAUCAUAAAUGGAGUCCAAUGAUCAAGGUAUUAUUGUGGAAGCAAACACCAAACGACCUAUGCUUUAUUUUUAUCACAGGCUUCCUUAUUUGUGGGGCCAUCUAUUCAUUUAGUUUUAACAAUGCGAUUCACAAACACACAAGCACUAUCUGUUAAUUCUAUCAGACUAGAGGGCUUGCCCUCUAUAGCAGACAUACAAUCAGAGGUUCGUUAUAGUAAACUUAGAUAUUUUCAAAGCUAAAAAUACUAACAUAAUGACUAUGAAGUUUGCUAUUUUUCAACAAUAUCAGCUGAAUGAUAAUUGAAAUGAAAAAAGUUGUUGAUAAGCAAUCAAUUCAUUUUUUUAAUGGCCUAUUAAUGUCUGAUAACAACUCAAAUCGCAAAGAUAGAUUGAACUCAACUCAAGGAACUUACAAGUUCGACACUCGCCUUUCAUACGUUUCUUAAACCCUAAAUGUAGUGGGGUUGAAGUUGUAAAUUCAAAACGCACACCAUAGACGUCAUGUGUAGAUGAGUAGUAAAGUCAGAAAAGUAAAUUAUUCUCUUCUGAAAAAAAUAAACUCAAGGAAAUACAUUCGAAAGCCAAUUAGCGCCUUUUCAAUCUAAGCUGGACAAGUUCUGGAGCAAAAUUCAGGCUAACCCUCAGAGACAUUAUAUCAUUAUUAUCAUAUUGCCAGAGCCGACCUUAUAUCGAUAUAAGAAUGAUUAACAGUUUAAAAUAUUUUUCAUGAUCCUACUGAGCUGCAUUCCCACCUAAAUUAGGUCACAUAGAAAAGGAGUAUGAAAAUUACAAAAUUUAUCAAUUCGACUUGCACAUGUUGCAUUUGAUUGAUGCAAAGUAGUAUGAACCAAUUUGCCUAUUAACACUUAGUGUUAAAAGUGUUAGUGUGUAAUGUAGUCGUGCCCCAUUAGAACGUUUCAGCAGAACCCAUUUAGCCCACUUAAUUACUUCAAAUUAUUUACCGUUUCGCAAGUGUUCAAAUCGAUUGAAGUAAAUGUCUGAAAGAUAUUUUUUACUUUUAAAUUUUCACAUUCAGGCUCCUGACAAUAUAAUUUCCACCAAUUAAUUUUCCAUCCUGCGCACUAACUGGGACGCCUUUGUUGUUCUUAAUAUAUUGCAAAAUUUUGUAGCUAUCUACAUUUGAACUCAAAACAUCGGUCUCCUUCCGUUUCAGCCAUUUUAAGUAUUCAAAGUGAUGCGAGCGUUUAGUCUUUUUGUAUCGCUUCAUGAGUCAAGCUACAGGAAGAGUUUUCUGAUUGUCCUGAGUUUGUUCACGGACUUGUAGAAAUAUGGACGGCGAAUGAGCUUCCCGCCAAAUCGGCUUGCUAUUGGUCAUAGCAACUCUGAGCCACUUUGUAAAUUAAAGAAACAAAAUAAGAGAUAUAGAUCUCUUCAAUUAAAGGCUGGUCAUUUUUAUAUCCUUUACUUGUGAAGUGGAUCUUUGCAAAGUUAUGUCGUCAAAAGCUUAUGUAGCUGACCAAGAGUGGGCCGUAAAUUCCAAUUUUAUGUUGUGUUUACGGGAUAACUUUAGACAUAUCUCCUGAGUUCCCUAAGCAUAGUGUUGGGCUCAAAGUUGGCCAAGUUUAUCUAUUCAACCAGAUCUUGUGGUCGUAUGAAGUGAUUAUUUGGAAUACCAUCAACGGUUCAAGAGGUACGAAAUUUUGGCGUUCGUUCGCAGUCCACAUCUCGAGAAGUCCGUGGUUUGUUCUAAAUAUAAUACCUUGCAAGUUUGCUUUCACAACUAGAAGAACCCACCAUGUAAUAGGGUCUCAUUAAAUGAAUAGAAUGGACUAAUGACCAACAUUCAAGAGGGUUUCAAUCGCUGUCUUCAAUACCCACCGCUAUAUUAAUUAGUAUUAUAGGGAUGUUUAAAAAGGCGUUGUGUUAAACAAUUGCCAUUCAAAAGAUUAUGCAUCGGUAUAGUCCAACUUUGUUAAGUGAUAGGUCAAAUCAAACUGGAACAGGCGUGCUGGAACGUCGAAUAUAUACGUUGGUUUUUUUGUAACUUAGUGUUAUGACAAAAAAUAAAAGUUAUGCGGAAAUGCUUCGAAAAUGGUUGUUAAUGUUUGAUGUACAAAAAUCCAAGAACUUUGCCCGGAUUUUAAUGCUUUUGGCUCACUUAUGUGGCCUAUGACCAAAUCGUAACAUGCCUAUCUUCCUAAUUGUGAAGGGAACCGUAGAAAAAGAUCGCUCUCACUUGAAUUUCAAGUUUGGACAUUGUUUACGACUGGCAUUUUGUAAUCACUUUACAAGCACGUGUUCAAGUGGAAGAAAUAGGGAAAUCAAUCAUUCCAUUUACGGCAUUUUUGAAUCGAAAUUGAACGCACGUGUUUCAGAUCCCACUAUCAUUGAGCCACUUGACAAAAUAACGUUUGAAAAUCAUCUGUAUACAAUCAGAAAGAGGGCCAUGAUACGUCAGUUCUUGAAUUGCCACACAAAAGGAAUGCGGCUAGAUAACAGAACAAGCAAAGAAAGGUCAUGUAACAUUAAGCCGAGUACAUAAAUCUUUCAACACCAGACAUGCCUGUAAUACGUUGUUGUUUGACUGACCCAAUUUUAACACCAUAAUUUAUGUUAGUUUUCAGUCCGCACCCUUCCAUCUUCUCGUUCUUUGUUACGAAACAUCAUUUGAGAAUGAAUCAUGCAGGAAGAUCAACGAUGAAAUGCACCCUCCUUCUACGUACCUCCUUCUUCGUGUUUCUCACUCGCUCUACUAUUUGAGCAUUUGAGCUUUUGAGAAUUUCCAACAAAGAGCGUUUUGUUGAUGAUUUCUUUGGGCUGAGUGAAACAAGCGGGACGGACACUCCAAAACAUUGGCCCCCAUCUUUCGUUCCUCCCAGAAGAUUCAGAACUUCAAAGCGAUGAUCUCUUGUCAUUCCAAUGAUUUACAACCACAAUGGGGGAUUGCUAUCUGCAGUUCGGGAACCUGCUCGGACGCUUUCGCAGAAAUGCAACCGACGCAGCGGGAGCUAUAAUACUUUUCCUUUCUCCAAAUUUCACCGAAGAAUGAGUCCCAACUUUUUGAAGACAAGUCCUCCGUGCGGUUUUUUUUUUCGUACCAUCCAACAAGGCCCAUUAAAGAUUGCCAAAUAUGCAUGCAUGUUACGACCAAAUUGGUGGCGGCACCUGCUUCCCAUGCUUCCGCCACGUGGUCUGUUGAGAAUUUGCUCUGCCGAAACCAUCACCCAAGAAUUCUUGGGAAAGGGAUCUGAUGAAAAGAAGACCUGUGAAGCUUGUUGGCUCUGAAAAAUGCGGAGAACUGACAGACAAGGCAUGAUUGAUUGAACAGCAUGAAUCUUGAAUGUUGUCAAUGCCAGACAUGGUAUCUGAUCGAAUCACUCUAUCACACCAGCUAGCACUCAUGCGGUGAAUUCUGGUCGAUGGAAGGCGGGUGUUGUAUAAUGAUUAGGGCUACUUUUCCAACCGAAGUAGCAUUAGCGUGUGGCUUGUUCAGUCUCCAAGAUCGGAAUGAACUUAUCUUUCUAUAUACCAUA